AACAUUUCCUCUGAACUGGUUUAGAUAAAUCUCCCCCAAUGAUUGUAACGUGGAGAAUAGGAGAUUCAGGUUAUUAUAGUGGGUCAAUUGCUACAUCAUAGAAGCUUCUGUAGGGAAACCUGGAAAGAGAUAAAUUCUGUGUGACUUCAAGAUUCAGCCCUCAGUGUUAACCUACCGGCAGCGCCAUAGCAGGAAAUAGGUCUGGAGCCAUCAAUACCUGUCAGAUACUAAAUGAAAUCCUGAACACAGAGCCAGGGGUUUCUGGGUAUAUAAUAAUUCCAACUCACUAGCAAAGCCAUCGGUCACAUGACCAUGCUCCGUCAUGUUGGAAGAGUUAAUACAAGAUAUGUCAUCCAUCGAUUUUCCGUCUUGUGUUCAAAGGCAAAACUACGAUAUCAAUGUAUUGAGCUGGGGAUGGCUGCAUUGGUGUGUGACAGCUCGGGGGAAAGUCACUGGCAAAGCCUCAACAAUGGGGGCAGCAGAGAGCAAAGAAGAGAACUCAAAAGGAAGAUAUCUAGUGAAAUGCGAGAAAUUGGGACUCUACAUUCAUUAAACCAGGCUUAGGGGAUCCGAAUGAAUCACAAACUUUAAAAAUAGAAAAGCAUUGUCAGAGCGAUGAUAUAGACGGGGCGUUCGGUUCUGUCACCGUAUCACAAUCCAGCACAUAGUAUAUAGGAGUAAUAUCUUACACUACAGUUGGCUUCUCCUCAUGAUCCACCAUGAUAAAUAUCCAGCUAGAUAUAGAGCGGGGACCGUCACGCUGUGCAUACAAUCUCAUCUCCUUCCAAAACCACUUCCCAAAUAACUGUGAAAUUAAUUGAAGUUGAAAAUUAAACA